UAAUAAAAAAAACUUAAUAAUAAAAUAAAGUUCCAGAGGAUAAGGAAGACACCUGAUGCUCAUGAAUUAGCAGGAUUAGUAUUGUAAAAAAUGGCUGUCCUACCAGAACUAUUUACAGGUUCAGGGCAAUCUCAUCAAAAUUAAGAUAUGAUUCUUAACAGAAAUUAAAAAUUAAUUGUAAAUUUCAUUUUGAAACACAAAAUACCCAGGAUAGCCCAAACAAUUCUGAGCGAUAAAAGAACUGCUGGGUCCUCACGCCCCUGACUGUUAUACUACAGGAUUAGAGUAGUGAAUGUAGCGACAUACUGGCAUAGGGACAGACAGACACACAGCCCAUAGCAUAGAAUUGAGGACGCAGACUUUUCACACGCUGACUCAUGUGAGUGUGUGACAGGAGCCACAGAUACAUAGGAGAGAAGACAGCAUCUUCUCGCUGUUCAGUUUAGAUAGCUGCAUGGAGAAGAGUGAAACUAGAUCACUGUUUUGUCUAGCACAGAGCUGUACUCAAGUGGAUCAGGGACCUUGAUAUUAGGCCGGACACUCUAGUGGACAGCAGGGAACGGUGGGGAAUAAGCUUGAACUCAUCGCCAUAGGAAAGGACUUUCUCAGCAGGACCCUGGUAGCACAGGCAUUACAACCAACAAUUGACAGAUGGGGACGCCUGAAAACUAAAAAGCUUUUGUACCGCAAAGGACAUCAUUUGAGUAACAAAGCAGCCUAAAGAAUCAGAAAUCUUCUAUCAGUGAUGUGUUUGACACAUGGUUAGUAUCUAAAUUAUACAAAGAACUAAAAAAAAAAAUCAAUAACUCAAUUAAAAAGUGGAGCAUGGAGCUAAACAUAGAGUUUUCAAAUGAUGAAAUACAAAUGGCUUUAUGUUGUCUUAAUCUCAUAGCCAGCAAAGGACCAGAUUUUUUAAGUCUACAGUGAGUCAAAUGAGGUGAUGCAUGCCAAUGAUCCUAGCCCUCGGGAGCAAGGGAAUCAGAAAUUCCAAGCCAGCCUGGGCUACGUAGGCAUGUCAAUAAAGAAAACAAAACAACAACAACAAAAAAAACCCACAAACCUUUAUAUAAUGAAUAAUAAAAAUUCACAAGCAGUAUAUUCCCUAAGAGAAACAGUGUAUGAACUCAGAAAAGUACUCAGCCGCUUAGCUAAUCAGAAAACGGAAGAUUAGCUGGGUAGUGGUGGCGCACGCCUAUAAUCCCAGCACUUGGGAGGCAGAGGCUGGCGGAUCUCUGUGAAAAUGGAAAUUUAAUGUGAUACCAUUAUUACUUCCAUGGCAAAAUCCUGUGGAAGGUGUGCUAAUACCUGGCUUUAAUGAGGUGAGCAGGAGCAGAACUCUGUUGUAUUGGUGGUAAACAAAACCAUCCAUAUGAAGAGCCAUUUGUGGAGCACAUAGAAGUAAAGAGGUCUGUACCCAAUGUGUCAUCUGUGGGACACUGCAAUGUAUUAGUUGAGGGAUAUAGAUAUACACACACACUUAAAACAACGUGGGGUAAUGAAAAUUCAAUACCUGAUGUGGCCUGGACACUGGAAUGUGUAAGUCGAAGGUACAUACGUGGUUGCCUAUAGCAAAUGGGAAUAAUGAAAUUUGGAAGCAGUUCGGGUGUCAGUUGCCAGGAGGAUGGGCACAGGGCACACCAAGUAGAUUGCUAGUACAGGAGGUAUGGCAUGUGCAAGCAUGGGGUUUCUAAACUAUGUCAUAAGCCACUGCAGGCUUCCUGGGACAUGUUCCAUUUCUGUAACGUUAAAAGCAAGCACAGUGCAAACAUGAGCACAGAUUAUAUGUGAUGCAGAUCUACUUUUAAAGAAAAGCAUUUCUUGUUCAGUAACAUUCAGAAGACUGAAGAUUGUAAGAGUUAAGCAGUGUCAUCAGGUGGGAACACAUGGAGGCUUCUAUGAUUUGGUAAUGUGUGCUGUGAUGUAUUGUAUUUUAUCGUAGUUACUAAUUCUUACUGAUUUCUUCAUAGGCAUGAAGUAGUUAGAGCUGAACAAAGCUCAUUUGUUCAGACAUUGACAGUGAGAGAGCCUUGGUAAUCUCGUGAGCUUUCUGACUUGCUUGCGAGUCUGUCUAUCCACCCUGACCCUUUCUGUCAGAAGGGGUGUGGCUCAGGGAGAUGUAAGAAGGACUGCCUGGCUAGCAACUGUUCACCUCUUUGUGUGACUUUAGAUGAAUUAGAACUGCUGUCUCUGUUUCAUCACUGGCAAAAUGCUGGUUGUCAUUGUGAAAAAUUAAUGAGUUCCUAAAUUUUCAUGUUAAAGAAUCACUGUCCUGCCGAGCACACAGUAAACAUCACCGUACACUAGCAUACCUGUGAUUAUUACCAUCAUUUAAACAAUGAAAAUGCUUUGUGAAUGACCCAGAGUUGUUAAACUGUUACAGUUCUAACAGGGAUUUCUAUUCUUCCCAGGGAAGCUUGCCAUAGGGAUAUUGUGAAUUUGCAAGUGGAGAUGAUUAAACAGUUUCAUACACAACUGAAUGAAAUCCACUCUUUGCUGGAAAGAUACUCAGUGAAUGAAGGCUUGGUGGCUGAAAUCGAAAGGCUUCGAGAAGAGAACAGAAGACUCCGGACCCACUUCUGAGGACCCGGCCGACCUCGUUUUUAUGAGUUGGGAAGUUUCUGGCACCUAGGAGUGACAGAUUCAGUAUUGUUUUCAUGGCCUUGACAGUGGAUGCUGCAGCAGGCACUAUUCCAUCUGUCAGACAUAUUUAUAUUUUUAUAUUACAGCUGCACAGAAUACAGUCUUCCUGAGAGGGAAGUCAACGGGAUCUGUAUGUUCUGAAUGUCUUAGCUAUACACUAAGUGCCCUUCUCCUAAGAGAAGAAAGUGUGCGCAGAAGGAUAGGUGUAUGUUUUGUAAGUGACUUUUUAAAAUGUAUAUUUUUGAUGGACAAAUUGUAUUCCAAAUUUUUUUUUUUUUGGUAGCCAACUUUGAAAACAUUGGUAUACCUUCUGUUUCAUGAAGAAAUAACUUUAAAGUGGCAAUUGGAUUUUUUUCAUGCUAUCGACUAGUCAUUAUUUUGUUAGCAUGAUAACAUCAAGUAUGAUGUAUUUAUUGCUUGUGUGGAUGGUACAUGUUGAAGCUUUGAGUUGUACAGAUACAUGGUACCUUUAGCAUUUCUGUCGCUGUGUUCUGAGGGCUCUGUACUCUGGUUACCUAACUUUACAUAGGAAAAACUUCUCAGAGUUUGGAAAAUUCAAGGGCUAUACAUCUGAUUGUCUAAUGAAUUAACAGUGUGCAAAAUCAUACUAUAAGGUUUUAAUCACCAUGGCUCAACAUAUAAUCAGUGAAAAUUUAUUGUAAGAUACUAAAUAUCACAAUAUUGUUGCCAUUUUUUCCUCACAAAUAAAAAGCAUAAUUAUUUUUUCUA